AACGUAGGAGACGAGCGUUAUCCGGAUUUACUGGGCGUAAAGAGCGUGUAGGAGGCAAUACAAGUUGGAUGUAAAAUCUCCCGGCUUAACUGGGAGGCGUCGUUCAAGACUGUAUAGCUGGAGUACUGCAGAGGUAAUCGGAACUCCGGGAGUAGCGGUGAAAUGCGUAGAUAUCCGGAAGAACACCAGAGGCGAAAGCGGAUUACUGGGCAGCAACUGACACUGAGACGCGAAAGCCAGGGUAGCGAAC
rnacentral:rRNA from 1 species